rnacentral:rRNA from 1 species
GAUGAACGCUGGCGGCGUGCCUAAUACAUGCAAGUCGAGCGAACAGACGAGGAGCUGGCGCCUCUGACUUUAUAGGCGGACGGGUGAGGAACACGUGGAUGACCUAACUCUCAGACUGGGAUAAUAUCGGGAGACCGGAUCUAAGGCCGGAAAAUAUAUUGCACCGGAAGGUGCACGAGUUGAAGUCGGUUUUGCUGUGGGUUAUAGAUGAAUCCGGGCUGCAUUAGCUAGUUGGUAGGGUAACGGCUUACCAAGGCUGCGAUGGGGAGCCGACCUGAGAGCGUCAUCGCCUACACUGUCACUGAGACAGAGUCCCCACUCCUACGGUAGGCCGCAGUCGGGACUCCUCCGCGAAGGGGGAGAGCCUGACGGAGCAACGUCGCCUGAGUCCUGAAGGUCUUCUGCUCGUAGAGCUAUGUUAUUAGGGAAGAACAAAUGCGUAAGUACCUAUGCUCGUAAUGACGGUACCUAAUGAGAAAGCCCCGGCUAACUCCGUG